GAAAUGCGAUAAGUAAUGUGAAUUGCAGCAUUCAGUGAAUCCUCGAAUCUUUGAACGCACCUUGCGCUCCUUGGUAUUCCUUGGAGCAUGCCUGUUUGAGUAUCAUGAAAUCUUCAAAGUAAAUCUUUUGUUAACUCAAUUGGUUUCUACUUUGGUAUUGGAGGUCUUUGCAGCUUCACACCUGCUCCUCUUUGUUCAUUAGCUGGAUCUCAGUGUUAUGCUUGGUUCCACUCGGCGUGAUAAGUUAUCUAUCGCUGAGGACACUGUAAAAGGUGGCCAAGGUAAAUGCAGAUGAACCGCUUCUAAUAGUCCAUUGACUUGGACAAUACUUUUAUGAUCUGAUCUCAAAUCAGGUAGGACUACCCGCUGAACUUAAGC
rnacentral:misc_RNA from 1 species